CCUACGGGUGGCUGCAGUCGAGAAUCAUUCACAAUGGGGGAAACCCUGAUGGUGCGACGCCGCGUGGGGGAAUGAAGGUCUUCGGAUUGUAAACCCCUGUCAUGUGGGAGCAAAUUAAAAAGAUAGUACCACAAGAGGAAGAGACGGCUAACUCUGUGCCAGCAGCCGCGGUAAUACAGAGGUCUCAAGCGUUGUUCGGAAUCACUGGGCGUAAAGCGUGCGUAGGCUGUUUCGUAAGUCGUGUGUGAAAGGCGCGGGCUCAACCCGCGGACGGCACAUGAUACUGCGAGACUAGAGUAAGGGAGGGGGAACCGGAAGUCUCGGUGUAGCAGUGAAAUGCGUAGAUAUCGAGAGGAACACUCGUGGCGAAGGCGGGUUCCUGGACAUUAACUGACGCUGAGGCACGAAGGCCAGGGGAGCGAAAGGGAUUAGAUACCCUGGUAGUC
rnacentral:rRNA from 1 species